GACGAACGCUGGCGGCGUGCUUAACACAUGCAAGUCGAACGGAAAGGCCCUGCUUUUGUGGGGUGCUCGAGUGGCGAACGGGUGAGUAACACGUGAGUAACCUGCCCUUGACUUUGGGAUAACUUCAGGAAACUGGGGCUAAUACCGGAUAGGAGCUCCUGCUGCAUGGUGGGGGUUGGAAAGUUUCGGCGGUUGGGGAUGGGCUCGCGGCUUAUCAGCUUGUUGGUGGGGUAGUGGCUUACCAAGGCUUUGGCGGGUAGCCGGCCUGAGAGGGUGACCGGCCACCGUGGGACUGAGAUACGGCCCAGAGUCGUACGGGAGGCAGCAGUGGGGUAUAUUGCACAAUGGGCGGAAGCCUGAUGCAGCAACGCCGCGUGCGGGAUGACGGCCUUCGGGUUGUAAACCGCUUUCGCCUGUGCCGAAGCGUGAGUGACGGUACUGGGUAAAGAAGCACCGGCUAACUACGUG
rnacentral:rRNA from 1 species